GACGAACGCUGGCGGCGUGCCUAAUACAUGCAAGUAGAACGCUGAAGAGAGGAGCUUGCUCUUCUUGGAUGAGUUGCGAACGGGUGAGUAACGCGUAGGUAACCUGCCUUGUAGCGGGGGAUAACUAUUGGAAACGAUAGCUAAUACCGCAUAACAAUGGAUGACACAUGUCAUUUAUUUGAAAGGGGCAAUUGCUCCACUACAAGAUGGACCUGCGUUGUAUUAGCUAGUAGGUGAGGUAACGGCUCACCUAGGCGACGAUACAUAGCCGACCUGAGAGGGUGAUCGGCCACACUGGGACUGAGACACGGCCCAGACUCCUACGGGAGGCAGCAGUAGGGAAUCUUCGGCAAUGGGGGCAACCCUGACCGAGCAACGCCGCGUGAGUGAAGAAGGUUUUCGGAUCGUAAAGCUCGGUUGUAAGUCAAGAACGAGGGUGAGAGUGGAAAGUUCACACUGUGACGGUAGCUUACCAGAAAGGGACGGCUAACUACGUG
rnacentral:rRNA from 1 species